AACGAACGCUGGCGGCAUGCCUAACACAUGCAAGUCGAACGAGACCUUCGGGUCUAGUGGCGCACGGGGGCGUAACGCGUGGGAACCUGCCCUUAGGUUCGGAAUAACUCCCCGAAAGGGGUGCUAAUACCGGAUAAUGUCUUCGGACCAAAGAUUUAUCGCCUUUGGUUGGGCCCGCGUUGGAUUAGCUAGUUGGUAGGGUAAAAGCCGACCAAGGCGACGAUCCAUAGCUGGUAUGGGAGGAUGAUCAGCCACACUGGGACUGGGACACGGCCCAGACUCCUACGGGAGGCAGCAGUGGGGAAUAAUAGACAAUGGGCGAGAGCCUGAUCCAGCAAGGCCGCGUGAGUGAUGAAGGCGUUAGGGAUGUAAAGCUCUUUUACCCGGGAUGAUAAGGAGAGUACCGGUAAAAUAAGCUCCGCCUACCUCGGU
rnacentral:rRNA from 1 species